GGUGUCAGAGCGGCACCACCACACCGCAAAGUGAAGAGAUGAUGCCGUGCCUGGGAGGGUGGCUGGAGAGUCCCCCAUCACUGCUAGUAUGGGAACGGUGAUGGUAUGCAGAGAGGAGGUGUGGUUAGAAGGGCCAUCAGAAAAGAGGAGGGAAGAGCUGGAGCUGUGAAGAAAGAUGAGAUCACUGAGAGCUGCUGAGUCCCAAAGAAUCAAAACGAAGCCCUGCUCUGAGGCUUGUGGCACCAGGAGGACCGCUUUCUCUGGAAGUUCCCUUACCUGAUUGAGAACACUUCUAAAAUAAAUGCAGCCGUCUUAAAGCCCCCUCCCUAUGAAUCUCAUUAAAUAACCAGGAAUGAUUAAUCACCCAAGAAAAGACUGAAAAAGAAGCUACAGCCAGGAUACCAUACCCAGACAGACUUUUCGUCUUUUCUUCUGAGGGAAGUUCCAAGAGAGAACCUGGGAGACUGUAUCUGCAUAAUAAGACAACCUUAGUUCACAGUGCAGUACCACCCCUCACCUUCCAUGACUUGUCCACAAGCUAUUGUUUGUCCUUCAGUCCCAUUCAGCAUCCAAAGAGAACCAUUUGCAAACCACUGUCAGGUAUUUGGGUCCAUUCAUUUACAGCCCCCCAGCUCCCUUUCCCUAGUGAAGAGAGUAUUUAAGUGCCAACCAUUGGGCCUUUCUGUGUAUGUUCAUAUUUUUUAUAUGGCUUCCCUGCUUCAUGCAUGUUAAUAAAUUUGUUAUGAUUUUCUCUUGUUAA